rnacentral:rRNA from 1 species
UACGUAGGGUGCGAGCGUUAAUCGGAAUUACUGGGCGUAAAGCGUGCGCAGGCGGUUUUGUAAGCCAGAUGUGAAAUCCCCGGGCUUAACCUGGGAAUGGCAUUUGGGACUGCAAGGCUGGAGUGCGGCAGAGGAGACUGGAAUUCCUGGUGUAGCAGUGAAAUGCGUAGAUAUCAGGAGGAACACCGAUGGCGAAGGACAGGUCUCUGG